rnacentral:rRNA from 1 species
AGAGUUUGAUCAUGGCUCAGCCUGAACGCUGGCGGCGUGGCUAAGACAUGCAAGUCGCACGGCGUCGGUAGCAAUACCGGCGCAGUGGCGAACGGGUGAGUAAUGAAUCGCUAACGUGCCCCGGACUCCGGGAUAGCUACCCGAAAGGGUAGGUAAUACCGGAUGACGUACCCCUCAGGCAUCUGCGGGGGUCCCAAAGGUCCGCCGGUCUGGGAGCGGGCGAUUUCGUAUCAGCUAGUUGGUGCGGGUAACGGCCCACCAAGGCGACGACGCGUAGCCGGACCGAGAGGUUGGCCGGCCACAUCGGGACUGAGACACUGCCCGGACUCCUACGGGGGGCUGCAGUAACGAAUCUUCCCCAAUGCACGCAAGUGUGAGGGAGCGACGCCGCGUGUGGGACGAAGUCCUUCGGGAUGUAAACCACUGUCAGGGGACACCAAGUUCUGAGGAUCCCCAGAGGAAGGGGCGGCUAACUCUGUGCCAGCAGCCGCGGUAAGACAGAGGCCCCGAGCGUUAGGCGGAAUCACUGGGCUUAAAGCGUGUGUAGGCGGGUCGUUAAGUACCUUGUGAAAUCCCACGGCUCACCCGUGGAACUGCUGGGUAUACUGGCGAUCUUGGGCCGGUCAGGGGCAGUCGGAACAAGCGGUGGAGCGGUGAAAUGCGUAGAUAUCGUUUGGAACGCCGACGGUGAAAACAGCUCGCUGGGAGUGUCCUGACGCUGAGACGCGAAAGCCAGGGGAGCGAACGGGAUUAGAUACCCCGGUAGUCC